rnacentral:lncRNA from 1 species
AGGGUUGUGGGCACCUCUGCACAGACAUCCUGGUCCAUGGAAGAGAGAAGCCCCGGCUAGUUCUAAGGCGUGGACCUAAUUCCCACAGAUCACCACUAAUCUUGAGUGUCUCACAAACAAACAGACUUCCUGCAGCCCCUGUGCAGGGCCAAGCCUCCUGCCUGAAGACUGGAAGGCGUGAGCAUGGGAAACGGCCCCACCUUCCUGCUGAGCCUGAUUUCCCAGCCCCUUUCUAGAGUUUGUGUGAAGGAUGUUUGGCCUCCUGAAUAUUUCACUCUUUCAUGGGAUACUUCACGUCAUGUCCAGAGUCAGCAAAGCCCAAAGAUGCCCUUGUGACAAGCCGUGCUGGCAUUAGAAGGCUCUUGUGUGAGCACUGUUGCUUCCUGGUGUGGUGACCUUGGGUUGACUUUGUCACCUCACAGAGAGCUCUCUGCAGUGAAGAUGAAAUAGGUCGUAUGGACAAGUGGCCAUCAGCAGUGCGCCGUGCAGCCUGUGUGCCCGCCCAACAGUCGAGAGGACCAAACCACUGGGGAGAACUGAGUGUCUUUGCUGGCAGGAUCUGAAGGCCAGUGAACACGUAGUGCAUACAUAUGAGUCUAUGAGCGGCAUAUCUACUGGAAUUCUCGAAUACCCUUCAUGCGGAUCUGGCCGUUCACACACUGUCACAAAGUGGACCAGCACCAAAUAAAAGGAGCUCCGAUGUGGAACUAGCCUACCCGCUGACUUGCUUUGUGUGUUGGGCAAACAGUGUCCUUUCUUUGAGCCUCAGUUUCCUCACUAUAAAGUGAGGGCUUUGAGAGUUGACUCAGCGGCUAAGAGUGUUGGCUGCUUUUCCAGAGAACCCAGCUUUGAUUGCUAGCACCCAUAUAGUGGCUCAAAGCUGUCUGUUAACUCCGGUUCCAGGGGAUCCAGCGCCCUCUUCUGGCCUUCACGGGCACUGCAUGUAUGUGGUGUACAAACAUACAUGCAGACAAAAUCCUGUACACAUAACACAGGAAAAGGGUCUGGGAGAGUGAUGUGGACUUUGCACUAGAUGGCUAAUGGCUUCUCAGGCUCUGAUACUGAUACUCUGUUAACGUCACUGCAUAUACCACCAAGCCAAAGGCAAGGAAUUAUUUUUAGAUUCCUUACCCAGAAACUACGACACCCCCCUUGCUUUUCCUUUUAGCAGCCAUCUUAUCCUAAGCUGCCCUCUGCAGCAAGGCUCCUCAACCUAUUUUGUAAUUGUUGCUUCGAAUACUAAUCCUGCAGUCCUCUGCUGACCACUUUUCCAGUCUCCUGUGACCUCUUCUUGUCUCUGGGGUACAGACUAACUCAAGUUCAAGGCCUCCAGGUCAUGUUGUGGCUUCUCAGCCUAGAUUGGAGCUUGAAUCCAUAAGAGGGGCCUCUGCCAGCCCCUGGCUUUUUACAUGACAAAAUGCAGCCUCAUUUGGCCUGACACUUACACAUGCUGCUCAAAGAAGGUUCGCAAUGGUGUGGGAAGGCGGCUACUCAGCUCUCUCUGUGUGGAUGUUCACCAGGUGGGGCCGGCUCCACUGUCUCUCCUUGACCUCAGUCUUCGUUCCCUAGUUCUCAGCCCACCAAGGAUCCUGUCUGGCCAUCUAUGUUGCCAUCAGUGGGUAGGCAAAGAGCAUGGGUCAGAUCCGCUGGCCUGGGACUCUGUCAGCAAGCAGCGUUGGAACCUCUCACUCCUAGAACCUCUUGGGAUUCGUGCCAACCCCCUCUUUUUCACCUCCAGGAGGGGCAAGCCACAUGACAACCUACCAAGCACAGGCUGCUGUUAAAAUGAGGGGAGAGAUGUUUCUUCAUAAUUUCCCCCUCUUGAAAUAAACCCAGACUUAAGAACAACAGAAACACGCAA